rnacentral:lncRNA from 1 species
UUGCAACCCCUCCUUUUUCUGUGUGGCAGUUGAAAAUGAAAGUACCUCCAACCGGUUCCCUCCUGCAACCAAUCAGACUGAUUUGCGCAGAAUGAACCAGUGGGAAACCUAUAGAGGAUAAAACACAGAAGGGAGCACAGAGCUGCCUGGUCCUGCAGCUCUCCUGGAGUGAGGUGGUGCUGCUAACCACUGGAAGCUGAAGUCCAGAGGCUCUAUUCAGUCAAGGGGUGAUGAACUCUCUUUGGGUCUGGAGACAGGCUGGAACUGGGAUGAGAUAUGGAGACCCUGCCAUUUACGACAACGUGGAUGUAUCUGCAGGACAUUAAGACAAGUGCAAUAAGCAAGACACGGAAAGAAAAUAUAGCAUGGUCUCUCUUAUAUGUGGAAUUUUAAAAAUUAACUCUGAAUACUUUGGAUUAAACUGAUGCAGCAGUCAUCCAAGAGAUGUCCACAUAUGUACUCCUGUUAAUGUUAGUUCCUUUCAUCCAAGCCAUCAGAGGUUCUCCCUGGAUCUCAUUUUUGGGGUGAUGUCCUAUACUUUUUUUUAAAUCUCCAUUAACUCCUCUCCUUAGUGGUUUUAAUGGCAUAUUCAUACAAUAUUAGAAUGAAAUUUGUGAGUCAAUAUUAAUUUCCAGGUUCAUAGUCUCACAGCUUGAACACAAACUAUUCAGACCUUUGAAAUUACCUUUAUUUCUUUACUUCCAGAGUAGCUGACUUUUUCAUUCUCUGCUGGAGCGUUUGGGCUGAUUCAUCACCCCCUCCCCCACCACCAUUCACUGAAUGUAGCCACUGGUCGUGGCUGCCUUUUCUGCUAUUUUAUAGAACCAAGCCUGAAUCUAUAAAGCGCUUCCCUUGGUACCUCCCAGAAACUUUUUAUUGCCUGUCUCUUUCUGUCAACUCAGUUGCAGAAAAAUACAUUUUAUGGCUCCAGUAAUUUAAGAAAGCUCUGAAAAAUCAAAUCUGUCCAUGGCAGUGCUAGCAUACUGUCUAUUAGAUUAAAUGAAGCUGUAAGCAUCUUUGAAGUACAAAUGAUACUUGGAAAGUAAAUGAAACUGGGAAUACUUGCAAGUAAAAUAUGGGAAGUCAAAGAGAUUAAAGGAUGAGAACCAGAAAUUGCUUAUGGCCAGUGUCCUGAGUAAGCCUCAGAAUCGCAUCCUAGAAGCAUCAAGUUCUUGUGUUACCCUAUGGAUCUAAAAAACGACUUCCUUAGUUUGAUGUAGUCUGCAGACAUCUCAUCAUCACAAAAACUUGAAAGCACUUACAGCACUAAGAAACUACCUUUGCAGAUUGUAAAAAAAGAUAGAAUCCUACUUAGUGUUUUGAUCACACCUGCCUAUUUCCCCAAGGUUUUACUGCAGGGUUAAAGAAUGAAUAAGCAUCUAGUUAUAUUUAAUAAACUCCAUGCCUUAUGGCUGAUUCUAAAGGCA